CAGGGACGGGUCCUGAAGAUGGGCCCCUGCGGCGGCGGCGGCGGAGACGUCUGGGAGAUGGACGUGCGGGGCGUCGACCGUAUCGUCAAGGUGGUUCUCUGGCACUCCGGCGCGGUCGACGCCAUCUCAGUGUCAUACGAGCGGGACGGCCGGGAGGAGCAGGCCAAGCACCGGGGAAAGCCGGAAGGACACCGCUCAGAGAUCUGCUUGGAGCCGGGUGAAUACCUCGUCGGCGUCAAAGGGAACCUGGGCAAUUUCGGUGGUUGUUUCCUCUUGGGAACGCUUACUUUCAUCAGCAACCUGCGCACCUUUGGGCCAUAUGGAACGAGGGAAGGUCCGCCAUUCGACCUUCCAGCAGCUGGAGGCAAGAUUGUCGGCUUCCAUGGCCGCUCCGGGGGCCUCCUCGACGCUCUGGGCACUUAUGUAUCGAUAUUACCAUUUGUACUGCAUGAACAUGUCAAUGUCUACUGUACCUCGUCACCAGACGUAUUACGCAUGAGCAAAUCCAUAUAUUUUUGCAUUCUGCAUGUUGCGAGACAUGUGCCUCUUGUGUGUGUGGGUGGUUUGGUCGCUUAG
rnacentral:rRNA from 1 species